rfam:Felis catus isolate Cinnamon breed Abyssinian chromosome B4, whole genome shotgun sequence.
GCCUGGGUGGCUCAGUCGGCUAAGCGUCUGACUUCGGCUCAGGUCAUGAUCUUGCGGUCCGUGGGUUCGAGCCCCGCGUUGGGCU